CGGAGUGCUUCAUGGUAAAUGAAGUUCAUUUUAUGUCACGCUACCAGCAAGACACGUGGAAAGUGCUCAGUGCUGUUUGUGACUAAUGCGCCGAUUACUAAUACUACAAAUAUUUCUUAUGAAAAACAUAAAAUAAAUUCAUCUAAAAAAUAAAAAAAGAUGGAUACUUUCAAUCAAACCAACUCUUCAAGGAAUGUAAACACCACCACUGCAUUGAAUCAAAAUAUGGACAAGAUCAUCGGUUUGGCCUUAAUUGUCAUUCUUUUUAUCACCAUGGUGUCUCUUGGUUGCACAAUGGAGAUCUCAAAGAUCAAGAAUCAUCUCACCAAACCCAAAGGGGUGGCAAUUGCAGUUUUGGCUCAAUAUGGUAUAAUGCCCCUCACAGCCUUCUGCCUAGCAAAGCUGUUUCAUUUAGGUGCUAUGGAGAGCAUAUCUGUGUUAAUUUGUGGAUGCUGUCCUGGAGGAAACAUCUCAAACAUCUUUACUCUGGCCCUCCAGGGAGACAUGAACCUCAGUGUUGUGAUGACUAUGUGCUCCACAGCACUGGGAUUGGUUAUGAUGCCCCUCCUGCUCUUAGUGUACAGCCUGGGUUUCCCAAACCUGGUGGAGUAUGUUCCUUUCAUUUGGAUCACUUUGACCCUGAUUUUGAUUCUGGUUCCCUGCGGUAUUGGGAUCCUGAUCAACUACCGAGUGCCCCAGUAUUCUAAGAUCAUCAUCCAGGUUGGGUUGAUGAUCUUGCUGAUCUCCUUUGUUGUCAUUGCUGUUCUUGCUGGUAUAACUGGUGGAAGAAAAAUUUUCACAGUGCUAUCUCCUCAGCUUAUAGCCACAGCUGCAUUGAUGCCAUUGACUGGAUACAUAUGUGGAUAUUUCCUGUCCACUCUGUUCAGGAUGAAUGCACCGUAUUUGCAGACGGACUGUUUCUGUGGAGGUAGGCUGUCAGAACAUCCAACUGUGUUCCACAAUCCUGAAGGUGGCAUUUCCUGAUGAGUACAUGGGUCAGCUGUAUUUCUUUCCUCUUAUCUACCUUGUGUUCCAGAUAAUUGAGGCUCUUAUCUUCAUAGUCCUGUUCAGAUGCCAUCAGAAGCUGAGACCAUCCCAAGAAAUACAAGUGUACACAGCAGUGGUGCCUACCCCCUGACAGUGACAUCUUAGGGGACUCUAUAGUGCUUGUUAAGCUGAAAAAGCAAUGUUAUGACCAAAUAUCAUAUAUGCUGAACGGUUUUAUUCCACUUUUAUAGAAGAGUAAACAGAUGAAACAGUAGGUGCAGAACAGAAUGGCCAGUGUUAAAAUAAUUUUUGUUUACAUUGAAAUACUGCUAGUAACAAUAAAUUUGACUGUAGAACCUAAUUGUUCUUUUGUACUGUCAUCUAGUCUUAACUGAAACACUUAUAAUUGUUUUAAUGCCAUAUAAAUAAUAAAAUACACUAUAGACCUACCCUAAUAAAAUGAAAUGAACUUUUUUUUUGUAGUAGAAGUUUAAAAGUAGUGGUUUUCAUCCAGGUUAUGUAAUUGGAGGAUUUGUGUACUGUAUAACAGGCUAUGUUUUCAUAUAGAGGGUUCGAUGAGAAUACACUGUUUAUGAACCUUUUUUAUAUAUAUAUAAUGCCAUCUAAAAUAAAAAACAUCUUCCACACCUA